ACUAGUUCUGCUAUAUUUUAAGGCAUAAACCAGAAGGGCUGUUGGACUUUGCAGAAAGCAUUCACAUUAUGCAGGAGUAUUAUUAUUAACAGAACAAAGGGAUGUAAAUGAGGUUUCUACACCUUGGUGAUCUCUCAGUGCAGUGCUUCUGGAAGAAUAAAACUCCUUGGGAUUUCAUAUUGCAGAUCUGAUCUACCAGUGGCUCGAGUACAGGCAGAGCUGACAAAAUUUUGGAGAGAAGGCUUAUUCAAACUAAGGACCAAGUAGUAAUUGGCUGUAGUUCGGGACACUGGCAUGAUGACGUUGAGUGAAGCACACCAGAUGAUUGAGGUACCUGACUUCUCAUAUACAUUUUACUUUUAGAGAGCAGUCAGUACACCUACUGAGGUAGCUGUGUGUCCUGUAAGGGAAGC